rnacentral:tRNA from 1 species
GGGAGUACACAGGAGCCUGGUGGUCCUCCUGGACUUCAAAUCCAGUGUGGGGUGGUAAACACGCCCUGGGUGGGUUCGAUUCCCAUGUGCUCCCGCCA